AAGGUCCUCUGGAUUGUAAACUUCUUUUAUCUGGGACGAAAAAAGAUCUUUCUAGAUCACUUGACGGUACCAAAUGAAUAAGCACCGGCUAGCUCCGUGCCAGCAGCCGCGGUAAUACGGAGGGUGCAAGCGUUAUCCGGAUUCACUGGGUUUAAAGGGUGCGUAGGCGGGCAGGUAAGUCAGUGGUGAAAUCCUGGAGCUCAACUCCAGAACUGCCAUUGAUACUAUCUGUCUUGAAUAUUGUGGAGGUAAGCGGAAUAUGUCAUGUAGCGGUGAAAUGCUUAGAUAUGACAUAGAACACCCAUUGCGAAGGCAGCUUACUACGCAUAUAUUGACGCUGAGGCACGAAAGCGUGGGGAUCAAACAGGAUUAGAUACCCUGGUAGUCCACGCCCUAAACGAUGGAUACUCGACAUACGCGAUACACUGUGUGUGUCUGAGCGAAAGCAUUAAGUAUCCCACCUGGGAAGUACGUUCGCAAGAAUGAAACUCAAAGGAAUUGGCGGGGGUCCGCACAAGCGGAGGAGUAUGUGGUUUCAUUCGAUGAUACGCGAGGAACCUUACCUGGGCUAGAAUGCUGGGAGACCGUGGGUGAAAGCUCACUUUGUAGCAAUACACUGCCAGUAAGGUGCUGCAUUGCUGUCGUCAGAUCGUGCCGUGAGGUGUUGGGUUAGGUCCGGAAGAGAGCGGGAACCCUUUCAUAGGUUGCCACAGGUUGAGUGGAACUCU
rnacentral:rRNA from 1 species